AGGGCGCAGGGUGGAUGCCUUGGCACUAAGAGCCGAUGAAAGACGUGAUAAGCUGCGAAAAGCUUCGGGGAGGAGCACAUAUCCAAUGAUCCGGAGAUAUCUGAAUGGGGAAACCCGGCAGAGGAAACCUCUGUCAGCGUGCAGUGAAUACAUAGCUGUACGUGGGGAACCCGGGGAACUGAAACAUCUAAGUACCCGGAGGAAGAGAAAGAAAAUUUAUCGAUUUCCAAAGUAGCGGCGAGCGAAAUGGAAAGAGCCCAAACCGUGAUGCGUGCAUCGCGGGGUUCGGACUGCGUUGUGGCAGACGUAAGAUAGGAGAACGGACUGGGAAGUCCGGCCGGAGAGAGUGAAAGCCUCGUAUCCGAAAUCCCAAGUCGCCUAGCAGGAUCCAGAGUAGGACGAGACACGAGAAACCUUGUCUGAACGAGCGGGGACCACCCCGUAAGGCUAAAUACUUCUUAGUGACCGAUAGCGCAUAGUACUGUGAAGGAAAGGUGAAAAGUACCCCGGGAGGGGAGUGAAAGAGAACCUGAAACCCUGUGUCUACAAGCUGUGGGACCUCUUUAUAUGAGGGACUGCGUACUUUUUGUAGAACGGUCCGGCGAGUUGUGCGUACUGGCGAGGUUAAGGACUUAAGGUCUGGAGCCGAAGUGAAAGCAAGCGUUAAUAGCGCGUCAAGUCAGUGAGUGCAGACCCGAAACCGGGUGACCUAUCCAUGUCCAGGUUGAAGCUUCCGUAAGAGGAAGUGGAGGACCGAACCCACAUCCGUUGAAAAGGGUGGGGAUGAGGUGUGGAUAGCGGAGAAAUUCCAAUCGAACCCGGAGAUAGCUGGUUCUCCUCGAAAUAGCUUUAGGGCUAGCCUCAUGAGAGUCUUAUGGAGGUAGAGCACUGAAUUGCCUAGGGGGCGUCAAAGCUUACCAAAGCAUAUCAAACUCCGAAUGCCAUCAAGAUGAUUCAUGGGAGUCAGACCAUACGAGAUAAGUUGGAUGGUCAAAAGGGAAAGAGCCCAGACCUACAGCUAAGGUCCCAAAGUACGUGUUAAGUGGAAAAGGAUGUGGGGAUUCUAAGACAACUAGGACGUUGGCUUAGAAGCAGCCAUUCAUUGAAAGAGUGCGUAAUAGCUCACUAGUCGAGAGUCCCUGCGCCGAAAAUGUCCGGGGCUGAAACACGACACCGAAGCUUAGGAAUGUGUAAACAUUGGUAGAGGAGCAUUGCUGGCGGGAUGAAGCCAUACCGUAAGGAGUGGUGGACUGCUAGGAAGAGAGAAUGCCGGAAUGAGUAGCGAGAUGAAGGUGAGAAUCCUUCAGGCCGAAUAUCUAAGGUUUCCAGAGUAAAGCUGAUCUGCUCUGGGUAAGUCGGGACCUAAGGCGAGGUCGAAAGACGUAGUCGAUGGAUAACAGGUUGAAAUUCCUGUACCGCAUAUAAACAGAACUGUGGGGACACAGACAGGGAAUGGAAUCCGGGAAUGGAUAUCCCGGUGCAAGCGAGGUAGGAGUGCUGUUGGCAAAUCCGCAGCACGAUCUGAAGACGUGACGCGUACCGAACAUAAGUAGGGAAGUCCAGGCCCCUGGCUGUCAAGAAAAGCCGCUAUUGUUUUAUAUGUGCCCGUACCGCAAACCGACACAGGUGGAUGAGGAGAGAAUCCUAAGGCCGACGGGAGAAGUAUUGUUAAGGAACUCGGCAAAAUGACUCCGUAACUUCGGGAGAAGGAGUGCCAUGUAAAAGUGGCCGCAGAGAAUUGGCCCAAGCAACUGUUUAGCAAAAACACAGGUCUAUGCAAAACCGAAAGGUGAGGUAUAUGGGCUGACGCCUGCCCGGUGCUGGAAGGUUAAGGGGAGAGGUUAGCGCAAGCGAAGCUUUGAACUUAAGCCCCAGUAAACGGCGGCCGUAACUAUAACGGUCCUAAGGUAGCGAAAUUCCUUGUCGGGUAAGUUCCGACCCGCACGAAAGGCGUAAUGAUUUGGGCACUGUCUCAACAAUGCACCCGGUGAAAUUGAAAUACCAGUGAAGAUGCUGGUUACCUGCGCCAGGACGGAAAGACCCCAUGGAGCUUUACUCCAGUUUGAUACUGGGAUUCGGCAUGGUAUGUACAGGAUAGGUGGGAGACUGAGAAGGUAUGACGUCAGUUGUACCGGAGUCGCUGUUGGGAUACCACCCUUACCAUGUUGGAUUUCUAACCUGUGGCCGUAAGCCGGUCAGGGGACAAUGUCAGGCGGGGAGUUUGACUGGGGCGGUCGCCUCCGAAAGGGUAUCGGAGGCGCUCAAAGGU
rnacentral:rRNA from 1 species